rnacentral:rRNA from 1 species
GACGAACGCUGGCGGCGUGCCUAAUACAUGCAAGUCGAACGCUGAAACUUGGUGCUUGCACCGAGCGGAUGAGUUGCGAACGGGUGAGUAACGCGUAGGUAACCUGCCUGGUAGCGGGGGAUAACUAUUGGAAACGAUAGCUAAUACCGCAUAAGAGUAGAUGUUGCAUGACAUUUGCUUAAAAGGUGCAAUUGCACCACUACCAGAUGGACCUGCGUUGUCUUAGCUAGUUGGUGGGGUAACGGCUCACCAAGGCGACGAUACAUAGCCGACCUGAGAGGGUGGUCGGCCAAACUGGGACUGAGACACGGCCCAGACUCCUAAGGGAGGCAGCAGUAGGGAAUCUUCGGGAAGGGACGGAAGUCUGACCGAGGAACGCCGCGGGGGGGAAGAAGGGUGUCGGAUCGUAAAGCUCGGUUGUAAGAGAAGAACGAGUGUGAGAGUGGAAAGUUCACACUGUGACGGUAGCUUACCAGAAAGGGACGGCUAACUACGUG